rnacentral:rRNA from 1 species
UACGAAGGGGGCUAGCGUUGUUCGGAAUUACUGGGCGUAAAGCGCACGUAGGCGGAUUUGCCAGUCAGGGGUGAAAUCCCGGGGCUCAACCUCGGAACUGCCUCUGAUACAGCAAGUCUUGAGUCCGGAAGAGGUGGGUGGAAUUCCUAGUGUAGAGGUGAAAUUCGUAGAUAUCUGGAGGAACACCGGUGGCGAAGGCGGCAUCCUGGACCGACAUUGACGCUGAGGCGCGAAAGCCAGGGGAGCAAACGGG